rnacentral:siRNA from 1 species
AGAACUGCAUGAUUCAUGGGCCA